ACUUAUACCUUGUAGGAAAAAUACUAUGUUGUAAAAAUGGUUUUUUUCCAUUGCACUUUGCAUGUGCUGCUGAUCUCUGUAAUUUCCCCAAAUGUAGGGAACUCAACUGCAUAAUUUGUAUAAAUAGGGAUUGCAGUUGUGAUUAGCCUAG
rnacentral:snRNA from 1 species